rnacentral:rRNA from 1 species
AUGAUAUUCCCCUCCCUCAUGCAACUGGAGCACGGGAUGAGCGACUCUGACGACUGGAGGCAGAGGGCGGCGUGCUCGGAGAGGUACAGGAGGAGAGACAAGCCGGAGGACAGCAAGAGGCCCAUCUCCGAGAUCGACGCCGAGAUAGAGGAGGAGUGCAGGAUCUGCAUGGAGCUCAACAGCAGGGUCGUGCUGCGCAACUGCAGCCACGACAUGUGCAUCAAGUGCUACCAUCAAUGCCUGCCUAUGUACAAUUUCUUCUUGAUAUGCUUCACUUUUAAACGGUAUAGUACAUGUUUAUCCCUGAAGUCAGCCUCCGGCCAUGGCGGAUCUGCAGACGCCGCUGGUGCGACCAAAGAGGAAGAAGGUUAUGGUGGACUACCUGCUACGGAAGGCAAGUUGUCGCAUCUGGAGCACAUCAGAGGGAGCAAUGAAGUUUGUACUACUUGGUUCUUACCAUUAGGACAGUACCAGAUGUGCUAA